rnacentral:rRNA from 1 species
UACAGAGGUCUCAAGCGUUGUUCGGAUUCAUUGGGCGUAAAGGGAGCGUAGGUGGCACCAUAAGUCAGGUGUGAAAUCUCGGGGCUCAACCCCGAAACUGCACUUGAUACUGUGGUGCUCGAGUACUGGAGAGGAGAUUGGAAUUUACGGUGUAGCAGUGAAAUGCGUAGAUAUCGUAAGGAAGACCAGUGGCGAAGGCGAAUCUCUGGACAGUUACUGACACUGAGGCUCGAAGGCCAGGGGAGCAAACGGG